GAAAUUGCUGUCCGCAGCACAAUGAACCAUCAUGUGGUCCACAACAGGGUGGAUGUUGCUGAUCACAAGAGGAGCCACAAGGGGGUGGCCAUUGACCGUGAGAUCCAUCCCAAGAUGGCGGCGCCCUUUCACGUGGCAGAGGGCCGCAACAUGGCAACCGUCCCCGGCACAAGCUGGAACAGUCACGCGGCUUGCCGGAAGGAAACAGCGACCGAGACCUAGUACAGUAGGCUGCAGCCACCAUGAACUGCAGCCCAGCCAUGCCACCCUGCCUUGGAGCCAACUGAGUAUGGACUGAAACCUUCAAAAACUCUUCCGGAGCACUGAAACUAUACGAGUGUGCCAUGAUGCCUGACUGCUUGGCUGAAUCUUGAAGGCAUUAUGCUAAUAAUGUAAGCCAGUCACAGAAAGAC